rnacentral:rRNA from 1 species
UACAGAGGAGCCAAGCGUUGUCCGGAUUGACUGGGCGUAAAGCGCACGCAGGCGGACGCGCGCGUGGGGUGUGAAAUCUGGCCGCUUAACGGCCAGGCGCCAUCCCAUACGGCGCGUCUGGAGUGAUGCAGAGGUCGGUGGAAUUGCCGGUGUAGUGGUGAAAUGCGUAGAGAUCGGCAGGGAACACCCCAGGGGGGAAACCAGCCGACUGGGCAUCUACUGACGCUGAGGUGCGAGAGCGUGGGGAGCGAACCGGG